rnacentral:rRNA from 1 species
CCUACGGGUGGCAGCAGUGAGGAAUAUUGGACAAUGGAGGGAACCCUGAUGCAGCGACGCCGCGUGAGGGGAGAAGUAUUUAGGUAUGUAAAGCUCUAUCAGCAGGGGGGAAAAUGACGGUACCUGAAUAAGAAGCCCAGGCUAACAACGUGCCAGAAGCGGCGGUAAUACGUAGGGGGCAAUCGUUAUACGGAGUUACUUGGUGUAAAGUGGGCGCAGGCGGGUGUACAAGUCUGGAGUGAAAGGCGGGUGCUCAACCCCCGCACUGCGUUUGAUACUGUAAAGCUGGAGUGUAGGUGCGGUAAGCGGAAUUCGUAGUGUAGCGGUGAAAUGCGUAGAUAUUAGGCAGAACACCAAUGGCGAAGGCGGCUUACCGGACUGCAACUGACGUUGAGGCUCGAAAGCGUGGGGAGCAAACAGGAUUAGAUACCCGUGUAGUC